rnacentral:rRNA from 1 species
UUGCUCUUCAACGAGGAAUUCCUAGUAAGCACAAGUCAUCAGCUUGUGCUGAUUACGUCCCUGCCCUUUGUACACACCGCCCGUCGCUACUACCGAUUGAAUGGCUCAGUGAGGCGUCCGGACUGGCCCAGAGAGGUGGGCAACUACCACUCAGGGCCGGAAAGCUCUCCAAACUCGGUCAUUUAGAGGAAGUAAAAGUCGUAACAAGGUCUCCGUUGGUGAACCAGCGGAGGGAUCAUUACUGAGUGUAAAAACUCCCAAACCCAUUGUGAACAUACCUCUGUUGCUUCGGCGGAUGCGCCCCGGGCGCGCCCUCACAGGCGUGCCCCGGACCAAGGCGCCCGCCGGGGAACCGAAACUCUUGUUUUCUUAGAGAAUCUCUGAGUGUGAUUAUAAAUCAAAUCAAAACUUUCAACAACGGAUCUCUUGGCUCUAGCAUCGAUGAAGAACGCAGCGAAAUGCGAUAAGUAAUGCGAAUUGCAGAAUUCAGUGAAUCAUCGAAUCUUUGAACGCACAUUGCGCCCGCCAGUACUCUGGCGGGCAUGCCUGUCUGAGCGUCAUUUCAACCCUCGCCCCCGGCUUCUGUCGGGGACGGUGUUGGGGAUCGGCCUCCCGUCUUCCGGGUGGCCGGCCCCUAAAUUGAGUGGCGACCACGCCGUAACCUCCUCUGCGUAGUAGUUAAACACUCGCGGGCGGAGAGCGGUGCGGCCUGCCGUAAAACCCCCAACUCUUCUAAGGUUGACCUCAGAUCAGGUAGGAAUACCCGCUGAACUUAAGCAUAUCAAUAAGCGGAGGA